rnacentral:lncRNA from 1 species
CUUUAUAAUAUAAUACCGGCAAUAAUUUGCAAUGAUAAUUAACAACAUUUAUCAUUACAUCAUUAAAAAAUUUAGGAAAAUUAUCAUUUGAAUACCCUUAGUUUACUUCAUUAUCAAAAAUACUACAACACUUUGAGGGUGUAUCAAUCGUCCACCCUAAGUUGACAAAAUGUAUCAGCUGACCACCAAACCGUUAGUUACCGUUUAAGUAUGAUGACGUCAGAAGGGUAAUUUAGUCUUUUCAUAUGAUACAAGUGAUAAUUUAAGGGUAUACAAGUGAUAAAAAGAGAAUUUAAUGGUAUACAAGUGAUAAUUUUCAAGGGUAAAAUCGUCAAUUCACUGUAAUUCCGUUAACUUUCAAACGGCAACUAAUGGUUUGGUGGUUGGCUGAUACAUUUUGUCAACUAAGGGUGGACGAUUGAUACACCUUCAAAGUGUUGUAGUAUUUUUGAUAACAGAACAAAUAUAGGGUAUACGAAUGAUAAUUUCCCAAAAAUUUAUUACCAACAAAAUGUUGUUGUAUUUAGAAUUAAAAAAAGUAUAAUAUUAAUAAAGUUAUCAUAUAUCUGUUCAGUUUAAUAAUAACAAUAAUAAUAAUAAUAGUAAUGGCUAACAAAUAUACUCAUCAAAAACAUUAAUAAUAGAUGUUAAGAGUGAAGGACAACAUUUGUCCAUGAGGUUCCUGAAAAACGCAACUUUUGUGCAGUAAAAUUAAAUCGACUUCAUUCAAAAAUAAAAAUCAAGAGGAAAGAUUGAAGUUUGUUUACCUCACUUGUAGUUUCAGAAACGACUUCGUGAGGUAGAAAAAAAUGACUGAAAACAACAAGGUACGAACACUGUCCAGAAAAUAUUCCUCUGCAUGAACAGCUUUUGUUUUGCCACGAUUUGAGUUAAAGCACCCCAAUUGUGAUGCCUCUAAUCAGUCCACACUUAGAAAUGUUCUAGAAGUUCAUAGGAUUUUGAAUCUUCAAAUUUCGUUUAGAAAUGAGAGAGAUAAUGAAGAAACAUAAAUGCUAAUUCAUGAUGAUUCAUUCCACUAAAUAAAGCCACCAUUAUCUUUUCAAUAAUGGCACCAAACAUUAUCAUGUGCUAGACCCACCCACUAAGCCAUUAUUUAUUGAAUGUGAUCUUAUCACUUCAAUAAUUUAUUUAAUCAAAUUAUUUUGAAUAAAUAAAUAGCUAAAUUAAUUAAUUUUGUCUUUAAUUAAUGAAGGGAAAUUAUCAGUCAUAUACCCUUAAAUGACACCAGUAUCAAACGUGCUACAACACUUUUCAAGUGUAUCACUCGUAUACCCUAAGUUGACAAAACACUUCUGCCGUCCACCAAUCCGUUAACUGUCGUUUGCGAGCGCUGACAUCGUAAGGAUAAUCUAGUCUUUUUUUAAAAACGACAUGUCAUCCCAUUUACCUAGUAAAAAACGACAUGUCAUAUGAUAUAUUUUGAUAAAAUGACAUGUCAUCCCAUUUAUCAUAUAAUUGUUAAUAAUUGCUAAAAAAAAAAGCUACUUUACAACCGAAUCUACUCCUUCAAAAUUUAACCUAAAUUAUUGAAGAUCUACUCCUCCAAGCUCAAACUUGAAUUUUUUAUGGUAUAAUAUGUAUAAUUGUAAAUAAUAUGUUGUUAAUAAUUUUUUAUGGUAUAAGAUGAAUAUUUUUUAUGGAUUAAUUGUUAAUAAGAUGAAUAUUUUUUAUGGAUUAAUUGUUAAUAAUAUGUACCAUUAAUAAUUCAUAUUUUUUUAAUUAAAAAAUGUAUUGUUAAUAACAAAAUAAAAAAAAUUGUGUAUUGAAAAUUUACAUUAAUUUUCAAGGUAAAUUUAUUUUUUUGCCUCAUUUUGAGUUUAAAGGGUAAAAUAAUCAUUUUGCUCAAAUUCUGUUAAGUUCUUAACGGUAGUAAACGGAAAGGUGGACGCUAGAACUCUUUUGUCAACUUAGGGUAUACGAGUGAUAUAAGCGAAAAAUGUUGUAGCACGUUUGAUACUGGUGUCAUUUAAAGGUAUAUGGCUGAUAAUUUCCCAUUAAUUAAUCCCAUUUUGAUAAAAUCAAAUGGUUAAUUGUGGGCUUAUUUUGUGACGUGUUCUAAUGCUUUCUCCUAAUCCAUAUCAGGUCCAAUAAAAGCCCAAAAUUGGUCUAGAAGUCCAUACUCAUUUACGAACCAGAACAUGUCCAAAAUGGUCAUUUUACGUGCUCGAUAUUAUACAUAAUGUUUAAUUAAGGAUUUAUGAAAUUUAUUUUGUUCCUUAAACUAUUUAUGGAACAUCUAAAUUUCUAUCUUAAAUCAUAUUUAAGAUAUAUAUAUAUAUUCAUUCUUAAUGAAUUAUAAUAUAAAUACCGAUUUUCCUAAAAUUAGGAAAUUUAACUUCUCAUUUUCUAGUAACUCCUUUUUCAUUUCUAUUAGGUGUGUGAUCUUUUAGGUUCUUUGUUAUAAGGUAGUAGAACUAUUUUAAUGAUAACUCUUUAUUCAUUAAAUGAUGCUAAACUCUUUAGUCAUCAAUUAGAACUUUUCUAAUGAUCUUAAGAUACAUUGGUAAUACGCUUUACCAAUAAUGAUCUUAAGGUUUCUACAAGUCAUGAGUGACACCUAGCAGUAUUUCACAACCACCCAAAUAACAAGAAUUGUUGGAUCUAUAGAACCUAUUCCAUUGUAUCUCUAUGUCUUGGUCUCUUCAUCAUCCAUGUCCAAAGAAAAGCACGGCUAAUGGUUUAGUGUGUUAAGCAUUUAUGCUUUAUCUCAAAAUAAAUCUAAAUGAACUUGGCAUGAAAAUAUAAUUUGAACUCCUUCAAACAUAUUUUACCUUGGCCAAGGAUUUCUCAUGCCAAUUCAUAUUAUCUCACAGGGACAUCCUUUUUGUAUAUUACAAAGUGAUGAAUUUCAUAUUGGCCAUACACUUGUCUCCAUACAUACCCAACCAUGACAGCUAUUGCUAGAUCUCUUCCUUGAUUAAGAAUUAAUCAUUAUGCUUUCACAUAUCAGAGAUGUCUAUGUAUAAGACAUCUGUGAUGCCUCAGGUCUAAAGACCAUUACUAAACAUAAUGUCUAUCACAAUGUAUAAUAAGUCAUUAACACUCAAAAUCAUAUGGCUUAUUAUAUUUGGUCAAGUUUAGUAAACUCGUUCUCUCAACAAGUACCUAUGUGUUUGACUUGACAUCUCAUAUCAAUGAUAUGAAACUCACUGUUCAUUUUAGUAUCACAUACCAUAAAUGAGUUAUAACACAUACUAGUGUUUAUAGGAAUUUAUCAUAAAUCCACUACUAGGAACUAUUUUAGAAGUAUAGUACAAAGGAUACACGUUUCAUAUUCUUGACAAACUCGAGAAUGUGUUGCUUAACGAUUUUACUCUUGGACUAUAUUCAUUAAAUUAAUUUAUGAAUGUUGAUAACUUUGCCAUUUUAUAAAUAUUAAAAUGCAAUCAUAUACAAUAAUUCCCUAAAAGCAAACACCAUUCGAUUGGCUUUUAGGGCAUAUCACUAACAAAGAGUACCAUUAAUCGUUAUACUAGUAAUAAAACAAUAUCAUCAAAUAUUAACCUUACAUGUAAUCAUGUAUAAGCUCCUAGAACAAUUCAUAGAAAUUUUUGUAACUUCAAAUC